AGCAGUCGCCACGGUAAUACGUAGGGUGCAAGCGUUAAUCGGAAUUACUGGGCGUAAAGCGUGCGCAGGCGGUUCGCUAAGACAGAUGUGAAAUCCCCGGGCUUAACCUGGGAACUGCAUUUGUGACUGGCGGGCUAGAGUAUGGCAGAGGGGGGUAGAAUUCCACGUGUAGCAGUGAAAUGCGUAGAGAUGUGGAGGAAUACCGAUGGCGAAGGCAGCCCCCUGGGCCAAUACUGACGCUCAUGCACGAAAGCGUGGGGAGCAAACAGGAUUAGAUACCCCUGUAGUCCCUGUCUCUUAUAC
rnacentral:rRNA from 1 species